rnacentral:snRNA from 1 species
UGUGAGGGCGAUCUGGCUGCGACAUCUGUCACCCCAUUGAUCACCAGGGUUGAUUCGGCUGAUCUGGCUGGCUAGGCGGGUGUCCCCUUCCUCCCUCACCGCUCCAUGUGCGUCCCUCCCGAAGCUGCGCGCUCGGUGGAAGAGGACGACCAUCCCAGAUAGAAGGAGUGUACCGUUCUUCGGUCAAGGGUAUACGAUAGCUGCGCUCCCCUGCUAGAACCUCCAAACAAGCUCAAGGUCCAUUUGUAGGAGAACGUAGGGUAUUUGAUUCAGAUCUAGAGUACAACAAACCCUUCCUAUCUGACCGUCUGGUUUGAAUGUUU